GGAAGUUUUAUGUAAUAACCUUGUAAUUCUCUUAUGGGGAUUUCUAUAAAUGAAAUUUCCUGAUUUAAAUUGUGGGUGAUUAUCUGUGAUCUAUGUUGUGUCCUGAAGAUGUUUGUGUAUUAUUUUUCUGGUUGAAAAGAUUUCCUCGUAUUGAAGAGGGGUCGGAAAUUAUUGUUAUGGUGUUUUUGCUAGUUUUGAGGUAUCCUCAAAAUUGCUUUCCUGUCUAACGGUCUUAUCUGAAAAUUAAAUUUUUAAUAGCUUUUUGUUUCUUUGUGUAGCAG
rnacentral:misc_RNA from 1 species